GGAGGUUACUGCUAUCGGUGUUCGCCUAACCCAUGCAAGUCAUAUGUUCUUCGUGAACAUGGCGUACUGCUCAGUAACACGUGAAUAACCUGCCCUUGGGACCGGCAUAACCCCGGGAAACUGGGGAUAAUUCCGGAUACCGCAUAUAUGCUGGAAUGCUUUAUGCGUGAAAUGGAUUCGUCUGCCCAAGGAUGGGUCUGCGGCCUAUCAGGUAGUAGUGGGUGUAAUGUACCUACUACCCUACAACGGGUACGGGUUGUGAAAGCAAAAGCCCGGAAAUGGAUUCUGAAACAUGAAUCCAGGCCCUACGGGGCGCACCAGGCGCGAAAACUUUACAAUGGAAUACACGGCGACAAGGGGACCCCCAUUGCGGGAAACAUUUGUUGGCUGUCCAGGUGUGUAAACUACACCUGUUAGCGAGGCCCGGGUAAGACGGGUGCCACCCGCCCCGAUAA
rnacentral:rRNA from 1 species